UGUGGGAGCGAGCCUGCUCGCGAUGCUGGCGCUGCGGUUUGUCAGGAAAGUUGCAGUGAUGCCAUCGCGAGCAGGCUCGCUCCCACA
rnacentral:misc_RNA from 1 species